GCAAACUUGGUCAUUUAGAGGAAGUAAAAGUCGUAACAAGGUUUCCGUAGGUGAACCUGCGGAAGGAUCAUUAUCGAGUUUUGACUGGGCUGUAGCUGGCCUUACGAGGCAUGUGCACGCCCUGUUGAUCUGCUUUACACCUGUGCACUCACUGUGGGCUUCAUGAUUGCGGAGCGGACCUUUGCUGGUCCGCGAGGUGGUCUGGGCCUGCGUUUACUACAAACUCGAAAGUAUUAGAACGUGUAUUGCGAUGCGACGCAUCUUUAUACAACUUUCAGCAACGGAUCUCUUGGCUCUCGCAUCGAUGAAGAACGCAGC
rnacentral:misc_RNA from 1 species